CUCAAGAUAGUUUCCAUCUAUGAGUGAGAAUGGUACCAAACAGGGCCCUGCUGCUGCAUUCCAUCUUAUAUAUCCAACAGAUUGAACUUUUUACUGGAUUCUGUUAAAAUGGAUGUUUGGUUCUCAUACGACAAAUUCAUCAGGGUUUCUCAGCGUCAUGAAACUCUGUUUGAAGCAGUGUAACCUCAUGUCACCAUCACUGUGUGUGUCCUGCUGCUUGGCCGUGAGACAUCCUGACACCUUGAUAUACAAACCAGAGACUAAAGUAUGGCUGUAACUACUGCACCAAGAUCUAUUUCUACAAAGAUCAAAAGAAUCGAACAUAGCCAUUUGUGUGCAUAUGUGUGUGUGCAAGAAAGAGACAGACCAACAGAUGUGACAAGAGACAUCAAAAAAGAAUAAAGAAAAAAAUAAUGAGGGAGUUAUAGGAUUCUAAAGUGACAGAGUUAAAACCUAUAUGCAUUAAUAUUUAUCAAAUGUUAUAUAUGAAUAAUUGUUAUAGUUAUUGUAGCUACCACUAUCACUUAGCAUAUGAUACCCUAUGCUAGUGAUGCCCUUUCACACCUCUGCUGCAACACUAUUAUAGUCCCAAAUGUAACUGUUGCUGAAUUUAACCAGGAGUACCCAUUAGGCAAUGACUAUAUUUUACUUGUUUAUGCAUUUGGUGCUUAGUUGAGUCUCAAACUAAAUAUGCUGAAUAUAUACUUAAUUAAAUGUGCUAAAGAAAUAUAGUAGGUGCAUUUAGAAAAGAUUUGUUUGGUCAACUAAGAUGUUUUGCAACUGUAAUUGCAUUAUUGUUAUUGGCAUUUCUAAAUCA